CGACCCCCACAACGGCUUCCUGGCGUGGAGAGGUCCUGAACCAAUGGAGCA
rfam:Paracoccus solventivorans strain DSM 6637 genome assembly, contig: Ga0131120_102